AACACAACAAACAAUUUGAGGUGAAAGGACUGUCAAGUGCUUUCCAUGCAAGAGGAAUUUGAAAUUUUAAUUUGGUUUGCUGUUUAUUGUUAGUUUUUGUUUUUUUAUAAAAAAAUAAAAAGUCAGUUUGUACGUUCU